UUGAUCCUGGCUCAGAAUCAACGCUGGCGGCGUGCCUAACACAUGCAAGUCGAGCGAGAGGGGGUAGCAAUACCCUAGUAAAGCGGCGCACGGGUGAGUUACACGUGGAUAACCUGCCUCGAAGUGGGGAAUAACCCCGGGAAACCGGAUCUAAUACCGCAUAAUCUGACGAGAUCUGUGGAUUUUGUCAGCAAAGGAGUAAUUCGCUUUGAGAGGGGUCCGCGGCUGAUUAGCUAGUUGGUGAGGUAAUGGCUCACCAAGGCCACGAUCAGUAGCCGGUCUGAGAGGACGGUCGGCCAUACUGGAACUGAGACACGGUCCAGACUCCUACGGGAGGCAGCAGUGGGGAUUUUUUCGCAAUGGGGGCAACCCUGACGAAGCAACGCCGCGUGGGUGAUGUAGUAUUUCGGUACGUAAAACCCUUUCGACGGGGAAGAAACCGCAAGGUUUACGGUACCCGUAGAAGAAGCCCCGGCUAACUCCGUGCCAGCAGCCGCGGUAAUAAGGU
rnacentral:rRNA from 1 species